ACGAACCGUGCGAACGUUAUUCGGAAUCACUGGGCGUAAAGCGUGCGUAGGCGGCUGAUUAAGUCGGAUGUGAAAUCCCUGAGCUUAACUUAGGAAUUGCAUUCGAUACUGGUCAGCUAGAGUAUGGGAGAGGAUGGUAGAAUUCCAGGUGUAGCGGUGGAAUGCGUAGAGAUCUGGAGGAAUACCGAUGGCGAAGGCAGCCAUCUGGCCUAAUACUGACGCUGAGGUACGAAAGCAUGGGGAGCAAACA
rnacentral:rRNA from 1 species